rnacentral:rRNA from 1 species
UACGUAGGGGGCGAGCGUUGUCCGGAGUUACUGGGCGUAAAGCGCACGCAGGCGGUCUGCUAAGUUUGGAGUUACAGUUGGUGGCUUAACUGCCAAAGUGCUUCGAAAACUGACGAGCUUGAGUGCCGGAGAGGGUCGCGGAAUUCCCGGUGUAGAGGUGAAAUUCGUAGAUAUCGGGAGGAACACCAGUGGCGAAGGCGGCGACCUGGACGGACACUGACGCUGAGACGCGAAAGCGUGGGGAGCAAACAGG